rnacentral:tRNA from 1 species
UAAUUUAAAAGACAGUAGUUAAACUCUACUAUUAAGGG